UUGUUUCUGUUAUGUUCUCGCCAUAGAUUAGAUUAAUUAGGUUGUUCUAUCUUUCUGUGAUUUUAGACAUAGAUUGUUGAUCAUCUUUGCCACAUGAAAAAGUGUUAAUCUUUUAAUCUUGCUGUUGUGUUUAUACAGUUGGAGCUGUUUGUUGCACAUGAGUUUUGGGUAGUGAUGGAAUGGUUCUUGUAAAGCUCAUAUGCAUCUUCUCCAUAAACUUGCAGGUAAUUUGACAUGCUUUGAUAUAUGAAUUAAGAAGUGGCCAAAGUAAGAGGUUCAACCUUUUGGUCAUCAUUUUCUACUUGGUUCAAUUCUUGGGUUUCAGUUUUUGCUAUUAUAUUUCCUCUGUAUUGUGGUUUUCUCAAGUUGGGAGAAUCUUGUGUAUAUGAGUGUGCAUUUGGUGAUGGAUAUUGGUUUGUUAAAAAUGCUAUUGUGGUGCAUAAUUGUAUGCCUAUGUGUAAGUCGUUUGAGUUCUUUUUAGUGUAGGUUCAAGUGUGUGUACAAGUGUACUAGAAUUGUGAAACUAGUAAUGGAUUUAAAGAACGGAUGAGUGGAAUAUAUGUUCACAAAUGUUAUCCCCGGGGAAGUUGGAUAAUGUAAUCGUCUUUAGUAAGAAAUUAGCUUUAUAUUUGUUCCUUCAAUGAGAGAAGUUGUCAUGGGACUUCUUGGUAAUAUGAGAAUGGUGUUGGCUUGCGAGCAAUCCCAAGGCAUUCAAGUUGAUUAUUAGUUUGCUGCGAG